CGGAUUUUCGGGUCUUUUGUCUGACAUUCCUUUAGUUCAGUAUUUUCCGGGUGAGUGGAAUAAUCUUUAAUAUGCAUAUAAUAUAAAUAUAUAUGUAUGUUGAUUAUACAAUGAGUACAACUAGUAAAUUUCUUGAAUAUUUAUAUAUGUUGCUUUAUUUUUCGAGUACUCAUUUAUUCUUGAAUUUGCACUCGCAAUCUGAUAAAGUAAAUUCUAUUUGAUAUGAUAUACGUUUCUUUGAAGAUUCUGUGAAUAUAUAUUAUGCCUUGAUAUGGGACUUGUCAGUAACUCCAUGCUAACGGAGAAUAGUUAGCCUGUGUGCACAUAGUAUUCUGUUACCUAGCUGGUGAGAGAGGCAUCAGCCUGUGGCGAUUGAUCAUCCCACAGUGGUCACCGACGGGUGUCAUCUGGUCACCGACGGGUGUCAUCUGGUCACCUUCGGGUGUCAUCUGGUCACCUUCGGGUGUCAUCUGGUCACCUUCGGGUGUCAUCUGUUCUCUGACAUGUAAUCCACUACGUUAUGAUAAUAUGCUACGUUAUGAUAAUAUGCUACGUUAUGAUAAUAUGUUUAGUAAGUAUAUGUAUAUGUAUAUCAAGAUAAAUCAUCUUGCAAAUAAUAUCUGAAAUAUAUGAAAUGUAUAUUAAAUGUUAUUCCCUCACUGAGUUGGUUGGACUCACCCUCAUUUUUUUUAAUAUUAUUUCAGGUUCUUAGUUUCUGAGACUUUGUUGAGUGUUUCCGCUUCUUCAGUUCUGGUCGGUAUGCCUUGCUUGUUCGCGAGGUUUUCCUUUCAGUUUUGAUUUGAUGUCUUAGACGCUCCACUGUUACCUUGUUUUAAUUACGUUUGGAUUUUGAUAAUGUAAUGAGUAUUGUGAAUUAUUAUU
rnacentral:lncRNA from 1 species